rnacentral:lncRNA from 1 species
UUCUACGGAGAUCGGAUUCCGAUCGAACUUCUAUAGUGGACAGAUUUUGGGUGAACUCCUACGGCACACGAAAUCCAGCAACUGGAUCCUUCCAGCGGAUGAACCUCUCUAACGUCAUCCGACAUCCACGGUCGAUCGACCAUCUGUCGAAUUUUGUGCGAAACCGAACUUCGUCUACGAAAAGUCUCUGAUCGAGCUCCUACGGCAAGUGGCCCUUGCCUGCAGUAUUAACGCCCAAGGCACCCAACGGUAGAAGGUUCGCCAGCAACAUCCGAGCUCCUC